UGCAAGUUGAGCGCUGAAGGUUGGUACUUGUACCAACUGGAUGAGCAGCGAACGGGUGAGUAACGCGUGGGGAAUCUGCCUUUGAGCGGGGGACAACAUUUGGAAACGAAUGCUAAUACCGCAUAAAAACUUUAAACACAAGUUUUAAGUUUGAAAGAUGCAAUUGCAUCACUCAAAGAUGAUCCCGCGUUGUAUUAGCUAGUUGGUGAGGUAAAGGCUCACCAAGGCGAUGAUACAUAGCCGACCUGAGAGGGUGAUCGGCCACAUUGGGACUGAGACACGGCCCAAACUCCUACGGGAGGCAGCAGUAGGGAAUCUUCGGCAAUGGACGAAAGUCUGACCGAGCAACGCCGCGUGAGUGAAGAAGGUUUUCGGAUCGUAAAACUCUGUUGGUAGAGAAGAACGUUGGUGAGAGUGGAAAGCUCAUCAAGUGACGGUAACUACCCAGAAAGGGACGGCUAACUACGUGCCAGCAGCCGCGGUAAUACGUAGGUCCCGAGCGUUGUCCGGAUUUAUUGGGCGUAAAGCGAGCGCAGGUGGUUUAUUAAGUCUGGUGUAAAAGGCAGUGGCUCAACCAUUGUAUGCAUUGGAAACUGGUAGACUUGAGUGCAGGAGAGGAGAGUGGAAUUCCAUGUGUAGCGGUGAAAUGCGUAGAUAUAUGGAGGAACACCGGUGGCGAAAGCGGCUCUCUGGCCUGUAACUGACACUGAGGCUCGAAAGCGUGGGGAGCAAACAGGAUUAGAUACCCUGGUAGUCCACGCCGUAAACGAUGAGUGCUAGAUGUAGGGAGCUAUAAGUUCUCUGUAUCGCAGCUAACGCAAUAAGCACUCCGCCUGGGGAGUACGACCGCAAGGUUGAAACUCAAAGGAAUUGACGGGGGCCCGCACAAGCGGUGG
rnacentral:rRNA from 1 species